rnacentral:rRNA from 1 species
CAGUAGCCGCGGUAAUACGUAGGGUGCGAGCGUUAAUCGGAAUUACUGGGCGUAAAGCGAGCGCAGACGGUUACUUAAGCAGGAUGUGAAAUCCCCGGGCUCAACCUGGGAACUGCGUUCUGAACUGGGUGACUAGGGUGUGUCAGAGGGAGGUAGAAUUCCACGUGUAGCAGUGAAAUGCGUAGAGAUGUGGAGGAAUACCGAUGGCGAAGGCAGCCUCCUGGGAUAACACUGACGUUCAUGCUCGAAAGCGUGGGUAGCAAACAGGAUUAGAUACCCGCGUAGUCCCUGUCUCUUAUAC